UACCCGCUGAACUUAAGCAUAUCAAUAAGCGGAGGAAAAGAAACUAACAAGGAUUCCCCUAGUAACGGCGAGUGAAGAGGGAAAAGCUCAAAUUUUGAAUCUGGUGUCUUUGACUCCCGAGUUGUAAUCUAGAGAAGUGUUUUCCGUGUCGGACCGUGCACAAGUUCCCUGGAACGGGGCGUCAUAGAGGGUGAGAAUCCCGUAUAUGGCACGGACCGCCGAUGCUUUUGUGAUACACUCUCAACGAGUCGAGUUGUUUGGGAAUGCAGCUCAAAAUGGGUGGUAAAUUCCAUCUAAAGCUAAAUAUUGGCGAGAGACCGAUAGCGAACAAGUACCGUGAGGGAAAGAUGAAAAGCACUUUGGAAAGAGAGUUAAACAGUACGUGAAAUUGUUGAAAGGGAANCGCUUGA
rnacentral:rRNA from 1 species